AUGAUUAUCUUUGCCUGGAACUGCCGGGGAUUGGGGUUGGACUCGGCAGUCGGCGAGCUACGAGACCUGAUUAGGUCAUACAACCCAGAGGUGAUUUUUUUAUCAGAAACUAAAAAAAGAUCGGGAGCGAUGGAGAGACUCAAGUGGAGCUUGGGGUUCACAAAAGGGGUGGCUGUGGACUGUAAAGGAAAGAGUGGAGGUUUGGCGCUAUGGUGGAGAGAUCAUAUUGAGGUC
rnacentral:rRNA from 1 species